CAGAGGGUGCGAACGUUGCUCGGAAUUACUGGGCGUAAAGCGCGUGUAGGCGGGUCGGCAAGUCAGGCGUGAAAUCCCCAGGCUCAACCUGGGAACUGCGCUUGAAACUGCCGGUCUUGAGUAUCGGAGGGGGUGGCGGAAUUCCUGGUGUAGAGGUGAAAUUCGUAGAUAUCAGGAGGAACACCGGUGGCGAAGGCGGCCACCUGGACGAUUACUGACGCUGAGACGCGAAAGCGUGGGGGAGCAAACAGGAUUAGAUACCCUGGUAGUCCACGCCGUAAACGAUGGGUGCUAGGUGUCUCGGGUAUUGACCCCUGAGGUGCCGUAGCUAACGCGUUAAGCACCCCGCCUGGGAAGUACGGCCGCGAGGCUA
rnacentral:rRNA from 1 species